GUCUAUGGCCAUACCACCCUGAACAUGCCUGAUCUUGUCUGAUCUCAGAAGCUAAACAGGGUCGGGCCUGUGUAGUACUUGGAUGGGAGAAAAUUAUUAUAGAAC
rnacentral:rRNA from 1 species